GGAACCUGAGGUUCCCAAUAGCUGAGUUAUCAUUUCAUCACCCCAUAAUAGCUCACAAGAAGACCUGCUGGGUAGCACUCGUGGUUAGCAGCUGUGUGUUGGCAAGAAAUGAUUGCUAGAGAAGAUAGUCAAUAUUCACUUGAAGUUGAUGCAAUUUGUAUAAAAAUUAGUUGCAAUUGCCAUGUUAAUUGGUAAUCAACACAAACGUUAACCCAUUUUAGAUCUCUCAUCACAUGAGUUCCCUACCUGCAGACAAACAGGCAAGGUUGUUCAGCUGCCAAGAUGGAUUUUUCCACCUCAGAGUCUGGGGAAUUAUUUGCUAACCAGCAAGGCUACCCAGCAUAGCAGUGGGUGUACACAGGAAGGCACAACAGCCACGGACACCAUGGUGGGUUCCUGGUGCUCCAGCACAGGGUCAUAGCAACCAUGUGGCUGCACCUUGGGAUGAUGAACUGAGAAGUUCCCACUUAGAAACUCUUGCAUUGCUCUGCUCCUCUGCACAGUGCAUGGAGUCCCACUCAGUGCUUUCAUCUUCGGUUCGCUCCAUCCAGACGUUCCCCGUCUUCAGUCACUCGCAGGAAUUACACAAAGCUUUGGCUGCAUGAGUUUGGGGUUGAUCUUUAAAGAAAAAAACAGACUGAGAAAAACUGCAGCUCCCUCAUCCAUCUUUUCUAUAGACUUCUUCAAAUAUUGGUAAAAAAGAAGCACCAGACCCUUUUGUAUGGGUGACUUAUGACAUACCUACUUUCUUCAGUAAAAAUGAGCUUCUCUCUUUUUCCUCCAAACUGAUUUCAGAUUCCCCUCUUCUGACAUCCCAUGCUAUUAAGGAGCCAUUUAUUAUCCAUUUCUUCACACCUUCAAAGAACAGAAUGCAAGUUGAUCAAUUACAAUUAUUGUGGGCCUUCCUUUUGCUCCUUUCCAGUUAAUUAAAUUUUAAAACUGAAAAGAUUGCACCAUAUUUUCAUAACCUCUGGGUCUUCAGAUGCACGACAAGCACACUGCUGACUUAAGUAGCCCUUUUUUCUUCUUUAAGAAAGACAAAAGUAAAUUCCAUUAAUCCUUAAGUAUAUUCACUUUCAGUAGUUCGAAGCACAGAGCAAUUUGAAGUGAAUAUAAUCAUCUCCCUGAGCACCACUUAAUAACUUAGCCAGUUCCAGCUUGUUUGGAGCCUUACUUCAUAGAAUCAUCGAAUCAUAGAAUGGCCUGGAUUUAAAAGGAGCACAAUGCUCAUCUGGUUCCAACCUUCUGCUAUGUGCAGGUCACCAACCAGCAGACCAGGCUGCCCAGAGCCACAUCCAGCCUGGCCUUGAAUGCCUGCAGGGAUGGGGCAUUUCAAAUACACGUUUCUCUACUAGAACUUAAAAAUUAUACAUACAAAUAAACGCAGAGGUCAUGUUGGGAGAUGCUGAGUU
rnacentral:lncRNA from 1 species